rnacentral:rRNA from 1 species
UACAGAGGGGGCAAGCGUUAUUCGGAAUUAUUGGGCGUAAAGGGCGCGUAGGCGGCUUUUCAAGUGACGGGUGAAAUCCCUCGGCUUAACCGAGGAACUGCCUGUCAGACUGGAAGGCUUGAGACCGGGAGAGGUGAGUGGAAUUCCAGGUGUAGCGGUGAAAUGCGUAGAUAUCUGGAGGAAUACCGGUGGCGAAGGCGGCAUCCUGGACCGGCAUUGACGCUGAGGAGCGAAAGCCAGGGGAGCAAAGCGGG